rnacentral:rRNA from 1 species
UACGAACCGAGCGAACGUUGUUCGGAAUCACUGGGCUUAAAGGGCGCGUAGGCGGGUGCUCAAGUCCGUGGUGAAAUCCUCCGGCUCAACCGGAGAACUGCCUCGGAUACUGGGUGCCUCGAGGGUGGUAGGGGUAUGCGGAACUAUCGGUGGAGCGGUGAAAUGCGUUGAUAUCGAUAGGAACUCCGGUGGCGAAGGCGGCAUACUGGACCACCUCUGACGCUGAGGCGCGAAAGCCAGGGGAGCGAACGGG